UAAGUUUAAUGUCACACAGGAGACAUGUUCUCCUGUAUUCUUUGAUAAAACACCUUCAAGCUUCUUCAACAUCAGCACAACCCAAAACGUCUCAGCAUCAGCUUCAUGAACUGAUGAGUCAAACUUGCACCGCCAUUGCUGGACCACACAGGGACAUCACAAAGACUGCUGUUCCACGAGCUCUCAUCCCACAGGAUACAGCUCCUGUCAACCACCACCUGACCUUCUGGCUCUAAGAGCUUCACCUUGCUGCUGCCACUCCCUACACCCGCUGUUCUGAACCAUCAGAGACAUCUCUGCCUCCUGCCAGGGUCCAGGAUCAUCUCAGAUGAUGGAAGGUUUCUUCUGCCUUCACGUUACAUCUGAGAGCACUGAACCAACUGAAACAUUUAUCGACACUCAGUGACAUCUGGGUGUGGGACAGACCUGGUCAGGAGAUGUUUAUUUUCUUUUGCAGGACUCUAAGUCUCUUCCUUGAUGCCUGCAUAUCCUCCUCUGAGAUUCCUCUGUGUCACCGUCUGACCUCGUCUGACUCUGGUUGCUGCAGAGAUGCUGUUCAUACUCAUUUCCUACUUCACUUUUGCAGCAUCAUGUCUACCUCAUGAGGCAUAAAGCUGAACGUCCUGUGCUACAGCAGCAAACACUGAAGCCGCAGGUUGUUGCACCAAUAAACAUCCACUCUGGCAUGAUCACACUAACAUCUUAACACGGACACUCAUUCAGCUGACGGUUUCCAUCAGCAGAUCCAGGAAACAGGAAAAAGUCCCAUAUGAUCAAACUGGAACUCAGCACUCAUUUCAAGGCCGUCUCCACUUUACUUUGUCACCUGUCAGUUAAAUGAACCAUUUAUCUAUAAUAUGUAUCUGAUACAUUAUAGUUUUCAUUUGCUUUAGUUUCUCCUCUCUGUUAUUAUUGUUAAAGGAUAAUGUAGAACUACAAUGAUGGAGGUAGCCCUGUGACAGGCUAACCCAGUGUUAACACUGACCAGUAGGCGGGUUUAGGCAAGGCAAGACUCACACAAACAUAUCAUAUGGUCACCUGCAUCAGUGUCAGGUGCUGUCUGAUCCAAACCCAGCAAUCUUGUAAAUAUAGAACAUCCCUACUUUAAUACUUUAUGUACUGAAAUUGUUAAAUUCCAAACAAGUAAAAAUGAGUAAGCAGCUCCACUUUCUA